rnacentral:rRNA from 1 species
UACGUAGGUGGCAAGCGUUGUCCGGAUUUACUGGGCGUAAAGAGCGCGCAGGCGGUCGUUCAAGUCGCGUGUGAAAGCCCCCGGCUCAACUGGGGAGGGUCACGCGAUACUGAUCGACUCGAAGGCAGGAGAGGGUAGUGGAAUUCCCCGGUGUAGUGGUGAAAUGCGUAGAUAUCGGGAGGAACACCAGUGGCGAAGGCGACUACCUGGCCUGUUUCUUGACGCUGAGGCGCGAAAGCUAGGGGAGCAAACGGG